rnacentral:rRNA from 1 species
GACGAACGCUGGCGGCGUGCUUAACACAUGCAAGUCGAACGGAAAGGCCCUGCUUUUGUGGGGUGCUCGAGUGGCGAACGGGUGAGUAACACGUGAGUAACCUGCCCUUGACUUUGGGAUAACUUCAGGAAACUGGGGCUAAUACCGGAUAGGAGCUCCUGCUGCAUGGUGGGGGUUGGAAAGUUUCGGCGGUUGGGGAUGGACUCGCGGCUUAUGAGCUUGUUGGUGGGGUAGUGGCUUACCAAGGCUUUGACGGGUAGCCGGCCUGAGAGGGUGACCGGCCACAGUGGGACUGAGAUACGGCCCAGACUCCUACUGGAUGCAGCAGUGGGGAAUAUUGCACAAUGGGCGGAAGCCUGAUGCAGCAACGCCGCGUGCGGGAUGACGGCCUUCGGGUUGUAAACCGCUUUCGCCUGUGACGAAGCGUGUGUGACGGUAAUGGGUAAAGAAGCACCGGCUAACUACGUG